AACUUUCUAGAUGAGGAGAGAAGCAUUAAACACGUGAAAUUACAGUAAGAAUUGAUCAAGGUUGUGCUAGGAGAAAUAGAGUGUAUGCAUAGAAACUCGCAUUGAAAGGAUAUAUCCAGAAUAUUUAUGCAGACUGGACAGUAAUGCCUGUCUCACCCUUGUUAAAAGCAUGAAUGCUUGUGACCUUUUAAAAUAAGAGCUAGUUUGAGUUAUAAGCAAAUGCCACCAGGAGAAAGAAUAGGUCUUUGAUGACUAAUAGCACUGAGUUCAGCAGGGGGCCCUUGAAAACAUGGGGGUUUGGACAAAAAUGUGUCUGCCCUCUGUACCCCCGAUGUUUCCGAGUUGCCUUUCUCUUGCCCCUGCUGGCCUUGGCUGUUAGCCCCGCAGUCAGAGCCCUGGGUUUUCCGUGGUGAGGGCGGCACGUGCCCGGGACAGUCAGUGUUGCCGUCCUCAGCGAGCGGCCUCUGAGGCCUUACUGAAGAAGCGGGACCGAGAGUCCGCCGUUGGUUUAAUCUGAAUUCUUUUCUUGCUCCAGUCUGCCUUCCUGUAUUAUUUUUUUCUGCUCUUAUGUUUUAGAAAAUUUUCCCCCAGCCAAAGAAACCUGGGUUCUUCCCAGGGCAGGAGACUUGGGGGGCUGUAGCUGAGAGCACGCUGAUGCCCCCACUGGUCUGCCGUCUUCCCACGGGGGCAGCAGCAGCCAGGGCCGCAGAACCCACGCCUUCUGUUUCUGUUUCUCCCUGUAGAUAUCUCCACAGGACCUUCGUGGUUAAAUCAGGGACUGCUCUUGAACUCUACCCAGUCAGUUUCCAAUUUAGACCUGACCGCCGGUGCCCCCUUGUCCCAAUCAAGUGUAAACCAGGGGUUAUGCUUGGAUGCUGAAGUGGCCUUAGCAACUGGGCAGCUCCUUGCCCCAAACAGUCACCAGUCCAGUAGCGCUGCCUCUCACGGCUCCGAGUCCCGAGGCGAGACGCCCUGCUCGUUCAACGAUGACGACGAUGACGAAGAGGAGGAGGACCCCUCCUCCCCAGAAUAAAGACAGGACGCAGCCCACGCUUUCCUGUUCGAUGCUCAUGUGUGUUUUUAGUGUGAGCUCUUGUUUUUUGAAAUGAUUGCUUCAGUCCUUGCCUCUGUUUGCACUGUGCGUUCAGUGAAAACUAGGGAAACACAAUACGCGAAUUACACGCAGGCUGACACAGAUUGAGAUGAAAGUUAACGUAGUGUGAAUGACAACUCUGAACAGUAGGGCAAUAGGUCACCUCUCAGACAAAGCGAGCCCUCUGAGGUGACAGUGGGGACAGUCCCGGGAGAACUGGGCAGCACGAACGAAGCUCAUUUAUCUUCCAAGAGGUGGGAUCUCUCUGUUCCCCACACCCACGUAACCCCCCUUAGAACUAGGAUCGCUACCUGGCUACAGUGAACAGGCCUCGGUGAUCAGGUUUCUCACGCUUCUCGCCUUACCGGGCAUGAAUGAGCGUGAAAAGCUCCCGGUGGGGCGAGCGGUCCAGCGAGGAGGCAGGUGGCAGUCCUUGGCCUCAGGGACACGGGCUGCACUGCUGAGCUAGUAGUUGAAGGUCUAGUGGAGGUGCUUUACGCAUCGGCGGCCUUAGACGGCUUCUAGAAAGGAGCGCGAGCUAAUUCUUAAGUACUUAAGUGACAUUUAGAAUAAUUUAUAGUAAAACUGAAAGGAUUGUUGUUAGCCAAUGCAUUGGUGCAUAGAAUUUUUUAGGGCUACUUCUGGAAGCCAAAGUAGAAUAGCAUUCCACAUGCGUUAAAUACUUUGCCAGCACUGCCUUUUGCCAGCCUUCUAAAUCUGGGGUUUUACAGAGAAGGAAAUUGUACCUAUAGUUUGAGUCAGAGCUAUGCAUUUCAUACGGCGUUUUCAUUUAAAACAAAGGGGCGAACUCCUCUGACCGAAUUGCUUGCUUACAGGUCCCCGCAGUAAUUGUGUGAUUUCACCCAGUGUGCAAUUGAUGGAAAUGAACCAAAUGUCAUUACUUUGAAAAGCGAAGUCUUUCCAGAAUACGAACAGCACUGUUUUCCUGACCAUGUCACCUUUUAUAUGUUUUCAUUCAUCAAAAUGACCUUAAAGCUUAUUCCUGGGUAAACUGCGUUUCAAACUAACCUGAUGUCAUGUUUCACAGAAACAGCUGAAAAAUGGCGAACUCUCCAAAUGUUGGGUUUAUAGUCGUGCAGUCGAUAGUAUAUUGUUUCAUAGCCAAAGAUGCCGCCAGGAACACUGCUGGCGUGUUCGCAGCUCCUGCUCCCCUGAACAGAGGAGCGUGGAGACAUCUGCCACCAUGGCCAAACCCCAACUUAAUUCCACAGCAAGGCCUUGAAAGUAGCAAAUAAUAAUGAAAACUAACUCUGCGUCUUUGUCUUGAGUCAUUUGGCUUGGCCCCUAGAUUGUGCAUCUAGCAUCUUUGGGCCCAGCACCAAGCUCAGCCCCGAUCUGUUCCUUCCUCAAUCCCGUAGGGUAAGAGUAGAUGCCUCCUGAUCCCUUGUACAGCUCUGCCCCUGUGCCUACGGUGAGCUGGGGGCGAAGGACCUGGCUGACCUAAAGUUUGGUUAGGCCGUAGAAACAAAUACACUGAAACAUACAACUUUAAGUUUCUUUGAGACAAAACUCAUUCUGUCAGAAAUAAGCCAUAGUGCAGACUCAGAGUGUUCAAGGGGGCAGAGAGAGAGAGGCAGUUUUGAGAGAAUUCUGCCUGAGCCUGAGUUUGGGGACACAUCUCUUAGGCUGGGCAGGUGGGCGGAGCCUGAAACUGCAAAGGCCGGGCAGGUCUCCCUGGGCCUUGGGGAACACUGACUAGAAGAUCGGGGAACACUGACCAGAAGAUCGUCAGCUGCAGACAGUAAACCAGGCUCCCUUCCAGGCUGCCCUUUGAGGCCCCCCCCCUUUACCACCCCCUGCCUUUCCCAUCUCCUUGCUUGAAGGGGGACCUGGAGAGACCAAGGGCCACAGCCAGCUUUAUAGUCUUCAAGCUAUUGUACUACAGGUCCCAAAACCCGUACACCGACAUUCAUGACAGGUACGUUAGUCAUGACCUGUCCUCUACCAAGUAGCAAAAUCCGUGGGAGUUUUUGGGAAACUGCUCUCUCCUCUCUCUGUCCUGCUACUGCUGCUAUAGUGCUUUAAAUGGAUAAAACAUGGGUUUAAAAGAGAAAGCAACCAAAGACUCAUUACUAUUGGCCCCACCCUUGGCCGGCCAGCCAUAGGUGUGCAGUGUUUGACCGGAAAUGGCCUCUGUUCCUCAGUAAUGUUUGGGGUCACUGCUGAGGACACCUAAUAACAGUCUCACUGUGGCCGUCAGUGCACAUCGCUGGUGUGAAGCCUUAACUGAGCAGAACGCUAGGCUGAGGUGUUUAGAAAGAUAAAUCCUGUUAUUCUUCCAUAUCUCCCCUAAACAGAUGAUCUAGGUCUACAGCUCAGCACUCAGGCACAAUUUCGUAUAAAAAUCAAAGUGAAAAACAGUUAGGAAAUUGUGAUGACAACAUCCAGGCAUCUUUAUAGGAGUAGCACUUGGGGUUAUUUGCGCACAUGUGUGCAGGAAAAAAGACACCCCUCCCAGAGGGUGUGGGUCACACUCUGACUUGGGGAAGUUUGAGGGACCUUUUCCCCUCCGGGGUCAGUUUACUGUUACCCUUUCAAGUGCAUUGCACCCUUCGGUCAGUACCUUCUUGCUCCAUUAGCACCUGUGUGGUGGUGCCUGCCUGCCAUGCUUGACCCUUACGUGGGAAGGGCAGUGCUCACCAGGCUCCCCUGCUCUUCCCCCACUGUGAUCUUCUCCUGCGAUGACUAGGUGACGAAAGCACCUUCAGGAAGUGUUGACAUAAACUGUGCCUUACGGUCCUGGGGGACCUCAGCGGACCUCAGCGAGGGGGCAGGAACGGAGGCGCCAAUUCAGUGACCUCUCACCUCUCCGCCAUGCCCGCUGCCCCUCUGAAACUUGACAGUGAUGCCAUGUGUUUUGUUUCCUUCCAUUUAAUUCUGUAUAGAAGUGGUGGGGUGAAAACUGGCUUCUGCCAUCUUAACAGGAUGAAAGAGUAACUCCCCUCAUUAGCAGAAUUUACAGUGGAAACCACACCCUGCCACGUUUGAAAAAUAAUAAUACCGGCUCAGUCCUCAAACACAAAUUAGCCCCCGUCAGGCCAUCCACCUGGAGAUAGUCCACAGGAGGGCUCAGUGUACAUGCAGACCUCCAUACCUCGGCCGUUUGCUGAACCACGACCCUUGGCUGCUUGGGUUGUGGAGGCAGCCAAGUUGCUCCGAGGACAGUUGUAACUUAGGUGCCUGGGACGGUCAGAACCGGGUGGGGGUGGGGUGCCCGGGGGCAGGGUCAGCAAAGCAAGGGAACCGCCUCAGCUGUUUCUACCGUAGCCACACUCGCAGAGAGACCACAAAUUAGUUUUAUCAGUGAUUCGCCUCAAAGACCCUUUAAAUACCUAUCUAACUCCCUUCAGGUAGAUAAAAGGUGUGUCCCAACCCCAAAAAUCUGUGAGGUGGACGUUAGAAGGUGCUGCCUUAGCCGUGCAUAUAAAGAUUUAGCCCUUCAGUAAGUAUUUGAACAGAAAGCAUUCGGGCGGAUGAGUGCUGUGGAGAGAAAGGACAGGGCGAUGGACAGUGGGCAGAAGGCUGCUCCGGUCGGGGGCGGCCAGGCAGCGGCCAGCAGUGCCCGUAGCCAAGCGAAGGUCCUACCCCAUGAAGUUCUCGGCGUCCUUCCCUUCCAGUCUAAAGGUGGGAAAGUAACCCCUUUUCUAGGUGUUUUCUUCUAGCUCUAUGUUAUUGAAGACACAAAGAUCUUUUUGUAUUAGACACAUGAAAGGUAUUUUAUUCUGCGUAUGUAGUGGGGUCAGUACAGCUAAAGACGACGUGAGGACCAUUUUCCCAAAUAGGUUCCCCGUUUCAUGCACCCGGAGCAUUUCCCAAGCACUGAUGACCGUCCGUAUGAAUCUGCCGCAGACCCGCAGUGCCUGCCAGGGCCCCGCGCCUCGCCGUUGGAGGGGCCCUCGGAAAUGUGCCUCCCUGCCCUCUGAUUCACGGUCGAUACGAUGUCCACUUAGUUUAACUUCCACUGAAGCCAAACGCUAAAGAAAAAAGGCUGAUAUUUGCUUAAAAUUUUACCUUAAAAAAUUUGAACUAAAUAUUCACACAAAUCACAGUAUUUCUCAGGAAUUAGCCCCUUUACACAACCAAGAUAUCUCUAAAAAGUUAUGCUUAGAUAAACGUCAGGAUCCAGGUUUCCCACAUACCUCUCCACGCACAGAAUGCUCAGGAAGAAAAGGUGGGGGUGCAAAACUGACCCUCCAGUUGGGCCCCGGGAAUCCCUGACAAGCACAGGAGUUUAACUGGGAGCAGAGACGGGAGAAGGUGCCCUCCCUUUGUAUUUUGUGCUGCGGCUCUCAGGUGGGGUGAACCCUUGUCUCAUUCUUACGCGGCCUUUGCUUUACAAAAGGCCUGGAGGGCUGACAACUUGCCGUUCCAGCAGGUCGGCCUCUGAGCCUGUCUCCCCGCUCCUCGCUGCAUAGGGGUCGAUGUAGCUGAAAGUAAGGGCAGGACUCGCCCCUUCACCGAGGGCCUGAGCGCGAGAGAACAUCUCUCCGCCCCACUCUUAAGGCGUCACUUGUCUACCACCCCCCAGCCUGCGUGGCCAAGCCUGCACCCCCCCCCAGUCCCUUCCUCCUGGGAGGACCACGUCGCUUCCUGAAAGCCACUCCCUCCGCGCUGUCCUCCCGGGUGGCUUUGGGAUUAGCAUCAGCCCUGUCACACCAAGUGUGAAACAGCCAGAGUAGGCGUGGGACUUUGCUCUUGAGGCUGUGGCGUCCGCGUUGGGUCUCUCUCAACUCAGAAGACCCCGGGUUUAGACACACUUGGGAAGAAGCUCCUCCGUGGCACAGACUCGCACACUGGUCACUGGCAGGGGCUUGAGGUUAAGUUACCAAUACCUUUCUCUACCGCAUUUGCUUCCCUUCAUGUCUAUCUCAACAUAAGGAAGCUUCCCCAGAUCACGUUUGGGUUUUAAAACGCAUCAUAGUGUCACUUACCUAUGUCACCUUCACAUGUCAGGCAUCGUCUAAUGACAGAUGGCCUGAUUCUGCUUGUUCACGACUGAAGUCAGAUUUUUUUUUCAUACUAAAAGCUCUCCUGAGGACCCAGACACUCUUCUGCUAAACACUUCUGAGCAGUUGCCGCUCUUUUUCCCAGUAGUACCAUGACAGGUCCAACCCUGCCGUGUCCUGUAAAGUGGAAAUCCCACCCGGCCGACUGCACUGGCCGCUCCGGAGCCCGAGCUGGGGACACAGUUCAGUCUGUUCCUGGGGGCGUUCCCUUUACCCCCGUCACACUUGACUUCAGACGAAAAAGGAAACGGCCGUGGGCCCAGGUCGCUGUUCGCUAACUUUCUCAUUUGGAGAGCCUUUACUCUGAUCACGUGCUGUUAGGUUUUAUUUCCAGAAAAUAUAGUUCUGCUUUUUUUUCCUGCAUGAAGGAAACAUCCUGGUGCCACAUGCUCUAAGCAGUUUAAAAAAGCGAAAUAAGGGGGAAAUGCAAACACCACAUCUGACUUGCCUAAAGUAGACUUUAUUAGAUUGGAGUACCUAACCCAAUACAAUGUAUUAUUUUGUAGCAUCUCAAACUUUGUAAAUAAAUACCGUUAUUUUUAUAUGGAAAUUUUAUAGAAGAGCUAUUUCUGUAUACUUAAUUAUUCCUGGAUUUUCUGAAAUUGCUUCCAAUAAAUAACAGACAAGUCCUAAGCCGUGUUCUUCGAAAGAUGGUUCGAGGACCACCCGCAGCGGAAUUGACGGGGCUGGGGGUGGGGGUUAACGUUUUGCACCCCUAGGGCCCGUUCCCAGACACUCGGGUGCUCGGGAGUGGGGCCUGGGAAGCUGUACUUUUAAUAAACUCUGAGUGAUGUUUUUGUCCAUUAAAGUGUGAGUAUCUUUGUCCAUCCUGUAAGGUUAAAAGAAGGAAAGAAAGGAAAAGCUUCCAAAAUGAGGAUCGUUUGUGCUUGAGAGGGAAAAAUAAUGUAUCAGGCUUGUAUGAUUGAAUGAGAUGCACUAUAGAAAAAAAUAAACAUUUAAAAUAA